CCAGUCCAGGAGUCAGGAGUGGUAGGAGCAGUGAGAGUGAGUGUCCAUGGGCGUGUGGGAGAGGAGAAGAGGAUUUAUAUUUUGUUUUGGUAUUUACACAUUUUCAUUCAUCUUUUUAUUUAAUGCUUCCCAUAGCCUUGUAUAUUUUUAGACUGAUAUUUAGGGGUAGGGGUUGGAGUAGCUUAGGUGGGCUUUACAGAGGUAGAAAACAUAGGUUUUCGUUGUGUGUUUUAAAUUACCUUUCUACAGAGAAACUUCAUAAUGUUAAAAAUGUAGGUAGGAUUUCUUCUGCUGCUAACUCAAAACUUGGCAUGAGGGGACUGGGGUCACCCAUAUUGCCUCGUCUCUCUUGAAGGUCACCAGUUGCUCCCCUGUGAUGCUGAGUCCAGACUUCAUUUCAUGCAGAGCUUUCUAAACUGUGUGUUGCGACACCUGCAGUGUGUAUAGGUGUGUCGUGCAAAUGCCUGCUUGCUCCUCCUGGGGCUGGAAAUGGGUUAGUUUAACCUCCAGUUUGCUAGUGAAUCUGAAUUACUGUGCCACCAAAUGAUGUAUAUCUUAAAAGUGUGUCACCAACAUGAAAAGUUUGGAAAGCUCUGACUUAAUGAUUCACACGAGGCCUAUCUUCACUCCCUACUGAGCUACAGAGACCAGUAGAAUUACAAUGGUACUGUGGAUUUCAAACGCCUUGGUACUCAAACAACGUGGAACCCAAACACUGCAAACCUGGAAGCAAGUGUUCCAGUUUGCGAACAUUUUUUGGAAGCCAAACAUACUCCGUUUUGAGUGUUACACUUCUGAUUUGAGUGCCACACUUCCAUUUUGAGUGUUUGGCUGAGGUCUGUCUGCUUUUGCUAUUUUGCGUUUUGGCUUUUGUGGCUCUGUGUGUGUGUGUGUGUGUGUGUGUGUGUGUGUGAGACUGUGUGGAACCCAGCUCAGCUGCUGGUUGAUUGAUUGUGUGACUGCAGUACAUUAUUUAUUGCUUUCGUUUUAUGGAUCAAUGGUCUCAUUAGAUAGUAAAAUUCAUGUUAAAUUGUUGUUUUAGGGGUUAUUUUUAAAAGUCUGGAACAGAAUACAGUCAUACCUCAUGUUACGUUUCAGGUUGAGCAUUUUCAGGUUGCGCCCCGUGGCAACCCGGAAGUACCGGAAAGGGUUACUUCCAUGUUUCGCCUCUCGUGCAUGCGCAGAUGCAUAAAAUGACGUCACGCGCAUGCGCAGAAGCAGCGAAUCGCAACCUUGGUUUUGGAACGCUUUUGUUUUGGAACGGACUUCCGGAACUGGCAGCCUGCCGGCUUAGGUAAUCAGCACUCAGUAGUUGUAUUUACAAGAAGAUUUAUAAUACACAGUAAUUAACCUCAGAGUUAAUAUUAGCGGCUGUAUUAUCACAAUGAAGUUGAGGCAUCUGAGCUCAAAUUACGCCACCAACAGGAAACACAUAAUCCCCACCCCCUUCUUCUUCGAUUGACA